rnacentral:rRNA from 1 species
GAUGAACGCUGGCGGCGUGCCUAAUACAUGCAAGUCGAGCGAACAGACGAGGAGCUUGCUCCUCUGACGUUAGCGGCGGACGGGUGAGUAACACGUGGAUAACCUACCUAUAAGACUGGGAUAACUUCGGGAAACCGGAGCUAAUACCGGAUAAUAUAUUGAACCGCAUGGUUCAAUAGUGAAAGACGGUUUUGCUGUCACUUAUAGAUGGAUCCGCGCCGCAUUAGCUAGUUGGUAAGGCAACGGCUUACCAAGGCAACGAUGCGUAGCCGACCUGAGAGGGUGAUCGGCCACACUGGAACUGAGACACGGUCCAGACUCCUACGGGAGGCAGCAGUAGGGAAUCUUCCGCAAUGGGCGAAAGCCUGACGGAGCAACGCCGCGUGAGUGAUGAAGGUCUUCGGAUCGUAAAACUCUGUUAUUAGGGAAGAACAAAUGUGUAAGUAACUAUGCACGUCUUGACGGUACCUAAUCAGAAAGCAACGGCUAACUACGUG